GCGUCGUCUUCAGAGUUUGAUCCUGGCUCAGGAUGAACGCUGGCGGCGUGCUUAACACAUGCAAGUCGAACGGAGCGGCCUUGAUAGAGGAUUCGUCCAAUUGAUAAGCUUGCUUAGUGGCGGACGGGUGAGUAACGCGUGAGGAACCUGCCUCGGAGUGGGGAAUAACAGUUAGAAAUGACUGCUAAUACCGCAUAAUGCAUUUAGGUCGCAUGAUCUUGAAUGCCAAAGAUUUAUCGCUCUGAGAUGGCCUCGCGUCUGAUUAGCUAGUUGGUAGGGUAACGGCCUACCAAGGCGACGAUCAGUAGCCGGACUGAGAGGUUGACCGGCCACAUUGGGACUGAGACACGGCCCAG
rnacentral:rRNA from 1 species